GAAGAUUAAGACUUUUGGAAUGAAAUAAUGUAGAUUGUUGUAACUGUCAGUCUAUAAAAGUGCAUCUAAUAAUGCAUACCAAGUUUCUUGUCUUAUUUUUUUAUGUCACAUGACUUUAGGAGGAUAUUUAAAAGACCCAAGUUACCACAUAAUUAGCUACAGUGUAUUUCUUAGGAAAGGGUCACUGUAAAAUGUCAUUUCAUAAUAGUGCUUUGUUUAAAGACUGCAAAAACCAAAGAUGAUUCUUGAAUACCGCUCCAUGAAAGUUUGAUUAGCAACUCUUUG